rnacentral:rRNA from 1 species
UACGUAGGGGGCAAGCGUUGUCCGGAAUCAUUGGGCGUAAAGCGCGCGUAGGUGGCCCGGUAAGUCCGCUCUGAAAGUCACAGGCUCAACCUGUGAAAGCGGGUGGAUACUGCCGGGCUAGAGUCCGGAAGAGGCGAGUGGAAUUCCUGGUGUAGCGGUGGAAUGCGCAGAUAUCAGGAGGAACACCAACGGCGAAGGCAGCACUCUGGGCCGGUACUGACGUUGAGGAGCGAAAGCGUGGGGAGCAAACGGG